rnacentral:pre_miRNA from 1 species
AAAAUAGAGUGCAGCCAAGGAUGACUUGCCGGAAUAUAUAUAUAUAUCUAUAUAAAAUAUAGUAUUUUUUUUCUUCGGCAAGUUGUUUUUGGCUAUAUUUUGUUUUCU